rnacentral:misc_RNA from 1 species
CAACCCUCGCGCCCAUCUGGGCUGCGGUGUUGGGGACCGGCCUGCCCCCCGGGGCGCGCCGCCCCCCAAAAUCAGUGGCGGUCUCGCUGCAGCCUCCCUUGCGUAGUAGCACACCUCGCACCGGAGCGCAGCGCGGCCACGCCGUAAAACCCCCGACCCCCAUGA